UACGUUUUCUUGUUGUAACCGGUAAACCACCUCCGGUUGACUUAUUUUUAAUCCGUUUGGCGAGUCAUGGAGCUGGUGUAUAAAAGGCGAGAUAUUGAAGGUUUUCAUCAAUCCCGAGUGUAGUAGGUUCACAUCGAGUACGUUUUGUUUACUAAGUAAUAGGAAAGACGUAAAUAUGUCCUGGUUCCUUGGUUGGUUUUUACGUCUGUUGGGGUUUACCACAGUAAUCCAAUCAACUAUUAACUUGGAGUGGAUAGUAAAAGCACAAAAUGGUAAUAUACCAUCUACGGCUAUCCAAAUCAAACCCACUAGGAGUUCUGUAUUUUAUUUCUGCGAGGUUACCACUGUGGAGGGACAAAAAAUACUUGGAACACUAAAAUCAACAGACAAUUCCUGUAAAUACGAGGCAAACGGUAGUGUUACAAGCUCAACAGAGUUCAGCGUUCUCAGUAACCCUAAUGGAGCCAAUAUAAAAUAUACAUACAGGACAUCGAAACAGAUUCCUCCUACUGGUGCCGUUAAAUGUAAUCAAGGCAGUUACUGUUUCUUAGGCAUAGGUGUUUAUAAUGACGGAAUAUGUGAGGAACUCCCCGGAAAAAUCGUCGCCCCUAAAAGUCAAUUGAUUAUGACGACUGCCAAUAACGAAGUUAAAACAUGUGCGUCCAUACUGUACUUGACAAAAAACUGAUUUAAUUUGGUAUAAACAAGGUGUAUAUAUUAAAA